rnacentral:rRNA from 1 species
UAUAACCCUUUGUGAACAUACCUACAACUGUUGCUUCGGCGGGCAGGCCGUCCCCUGAAAAGGACGCCUCCCGGCCCGGACCGGACCCCCCGCGGGACCGGACCCGGCGCCCGCCGGAGGAUAACCAAACUCUAUUGUAACGACGUUUCUUCUGAGUGGCAUAAGCAAAAUAAUCAAAACUUUUAACAACGGAUCUCUUGGUUCUGGCAUCGAUGAAGAACGCAGCGAAAUGCGAUAAGUAAUGUGAAUUGCAGAAUUCAGUGAAUCAUCGAAUCUUUGAACGCACAUUGCGCCCGCCAGCAUUCUGGCGGGCAUGCCUGUUCGAGCGUCAUUUCAACCCUCAAGCUCUGCUUGGUGUUGGGGCUCUACGGUCGACGUAGGCCCUCAAAGGUAGUGGCGGACCCUCCCGGAGCCUCCUUUGCGUAGUAACAUUUCGUCUCGCACUGGGAUCCGGAGGGACUCUUGCCGUAAAACCCCCCAAUUUUCCAAAGGUUGACCUCGGAUCAGGUAGGAAUCCCGCUGAACUUAACAUAU